rnacentral:rRNA from 1 species
CCUACGGGAGGCAGCAGUGGGGAAUAUUGCGCAAUGGGCGAAAGCCUGACGCAGCGACGCCGCGUGAGGGAUGAAGGUCUUCGGAUCGUAAACCUCUGUCAGCAGGGAAGAACGGUCACUGUGCUAAUCAGCAGUGAAUUGACGGUACCUGCAAAGGAAGCACCGGCUAACUCCGUGACAGCAGCCGCGGUAAUUCGGAGGGUGCGAGCGUUAAUCGGAAUUACUGGGCGUAAAGCGCUCGUAGGCGGUAUGGCAAGUCAAGGGUGAAAUCCCCGCGCGCAACGUGGGAACUGCCUUUGAAACUGGCAAACUGGAGUGUGUGAGAGGAUAGUGGAAGUCCAGGGGUAGGAGUGAAAUCCGUAGAUAUCUGGAGGAACAGCAGUGGCGAAGGCGACUAUCUGGCACAUAACUGACGCUGAGGAGCGAAAGCGUGGGUAGCAAACAGGAUUAGAUACCCGAGUAGUC